rnacentral:lncRNA from 1 species
AUGUGCCCUCACGGCAGCGCCCCCUCCUGGCCGCUUCUCCUCCCUGCUUGGGGAGUGGCCUCGGCUCCGGCUCAGCCCGUGGUCCCUGCAGGACUGUGCAGACGUCUGUCCUCUGCGUUCCAGCCUGAGCCUGAGCAAGGCCCCAGGGCUCCCUGGGAAGGACAGUGUUCUGAAGCAGGACACACUGAGGCUCAGCAUGUUGCAGCACACACGGGAGAAGCGCACUUCACACGUGGAGGGGUGCAUCGCUGUCAGGGUGCUCCCUGUAAAAACAAAAAGAACAGAAGCCACCUGUUUUCCAAGGAGGAACGGAUGAGUUGGAACUUUUCCCCAGCCCUGCUCCCCCCUGGUGGGGAAUGCUGCCCUGCCACAGGAAGAGGUGGGGCCGUGGGAGGAGCUCCCUCAGGGGCCGGCUCAGUCCACCGGGAGCCGCUGGGGAGCCCUCCCCAGCCUGACACCAUGGUAACCCUGCCCCUAAGGCCGGCAGGACCAGCAGAGGCCGAUGGCAACCAACUUCUUUGA